rnacentral:tRNA from 1 species
GGGGUUGUAGCUCAGCUGGUAGAGCGUCGGCACGGCACGCCGAAGGCCGAGGGUUCGAGUCCCUUCUACUCCA